GUCUGCGGGUCAGACGAAGGAGGAUCGAUACAGUUAUAUUGUUCCGUCACUAAAUGACGACGCGCCUCUCUCGCCCGCUUAAUCGAGGACAAUUCGUCGGAUAUUAAUUAGGAUCUUUUUAAAAGAGACAUUCUAUUGUACGUCCCCACUCUGCGAAUCGAAAAGUCAGCACGGAGUCUCCCUCGGCGAGCUCGAGUCGAUUUAUUGAAAUUGGAGAGAUUAGCAACAUAAAUGUUGGUACGAACCUUCUGGUGAGCUCGAGCCACGUGAUCGUGUAGGAAGCUGGCUCUUUCACGAUAAACUCCACGGCGAUAGUUCUGAUGGGGUCCUGUCCCGGUGCGAGGAUCAUCGCGUUGCUGCCGACGGCCCAACCGUCGCUGAACACCUCCACCACGUGGUGCCUGGAGUCAGCGAUCUCAACAGAUAAAAGUUAUUUCAGACGCCAGUGUUCAAAAGCUUUAAGAUACGAAGCUUCUCACGUUUACCUCGUCAUCGUCGAUCGGCG